rnacentral:rRNA from 1 species
GAUGAACGCUGGCGGCGUGCUUAACACAUGCAAGUCGAACGGUGAAAGAGAGCUUGCUCUCUGGAUCAGUGGCGAACGGGUGAGUAACACGUGAGCAAUCUGCCCCUGACUCUGGGAUAAGCGCUGGAAACGGCGUCUAAUACCGGAUACGAGCUGCGAAGGCAUCUUCAGCAGUUGGAAAGAACUUCGGUCAGGGAUGAGCUCGCGGCCUAUCAGCUAGUUGGUGAGGUAAUGGCUCACCAAGGCGUCGACGGGUAGCCGGCCUGAGAGGGUGACCGGCCACACUGGGACUGAGACACGGCCCAGACUCCUACGGGAGGCAGCAGUGGGGAAUAUUGCACAAUGGGCGCAAGCCUGAUGCAGCAACGCCGCGUGAGGGACGACGGCCUUCGGGUUGUAAACCUCUUUUAGCAGGGAAGAAGCGAAAGUGACGGUACCUGCAGAAAAAGCACCGGCUAACUACGUGCCAGCAGCCGCCGUAACAC